rnacentral:rRNA from 1 species
AGCAGCCGCGGUAAUUCCAGCUCCAAUAGCGUAUAUUAAAGUUGUUGCAGUUAAAAAGCUCGUAGUUGAAUUUCGGGAUUCUACCGUUGGUCGGGCUAUUGUCUGUACUGGCGUGUAGAAUUUCUACCUUCUGGGGAACUAUCAUGUUAUUAAUUUAGCGUGGUAGGAAACCAGGACCUUUACCUUGAAAAAAAUUAGAGUGUUCAAAGCAGGCUUAUGUCUGAAUACAUUAGCAUGGAAUAAUAAAAUAGGACGGUGGUCCUGUUUUGUUGGUUUCUGAAUCACCGUAAUGAUUAAUAGGGAUAGUUGGGGGCAUUAGUAUUCAAUUGUCAGAGGUGAAAUUCUUGAAUUUAUUGAAGACUAACUACUGCGAAAGCAUUUGCCAAGGAUGUUUUCAUUAAUCAAGAACGAAAGUUAGGGGAUCGAAGACGAUCAGAUACCGUCGUAGUCUUAACCAUAAACUAUGCCGACUAGGGAUCGGACGAUGUUAACUUUCUUGACUCGUUCGGCGCCUUACGGA